AGCUGUGGUGCGUGCCGCUAAGUUGUGCGUUCCAGGGUGCACUCGCCGGCGAGGCUGCACGGCGCCGGUUUCAUUGCUAAAAUCCGACGGACUUGUUGCAGAACUCGUUUUUUUUGUCGGGAAAGGGCUUCCCCGUGUAACUUUACAGCAGUUAUCGUAGAUAAGACUUGCAAAUUACAGAUGUGGACGGUGAGGGAACGGGAAUUUCACUGAAAGCGCCUGAGAACCAGUAAGAGACCUGCAACAGCUUUGUGCUCCACUGGCGAAUGCUUCCUCCCCUAAUACACAUUAUGUGUGCUUGGAGACACAAGGAGUAAGAUACAGCCCCUCAAGGGACUCGUCAUAGGGAGAGGACACAGCUUUGGGAAUAAAGGGGCCACAAAGGAGGAGAGAGGAGUUUGCUGAAACUUCCCAAGCUCCCAUUCCAGCAGUUCCUGAAGGAUUCAUUUCUCUCUGAGGAUCUCAUGAGGUGGCUUAGCAGCUAGAAUCUCUUCCUUAACAGUGGGAAGAACAACUCCUGGAAAUUUAGGUCGACUUUGACUGGAUUUAAAAGAAAGCUGUACAAUUCCACUUCUGUAUAUACAACCAAAGGAAAUGAGAUGUGCAUACCCAUGUUCAAUGAAGCAUUAUUCACAAUAGCCAAAAUGUGGAACCAAUCCUUAAACAAAAGGAAAACAGAAAAUCUGCUCAAGGCACCUGAGAAAAUCACAACCCACACUUGCGAACCCCUAGGAGACCUAAAGCUGUGGUUUUACAAAUAAACAGAUAAGUAACAUUCCUACUCUUUCCUAUAGGUACUCAAUCUUCUUAACAACUCCCAUCCCACACAGGUUUGCAUCCCCAGCAGAUACAUAUGGCUAUGUGGUCACCCAUUCGAUCAGCCUAUAAAAGACUUGUCUUAUUUGAUAUUGUGAAACCCAUGGUUAUCAGUGUAUAUGAAAAUGUUUGGUUCAGGGGUCAAUGUACAAUAUGACAAGCAAAGUCCUCUAAUACACAGUUAUAUAAAAUCACUCACCUGAGAGCCAAGUGGACAAUUGGCCUUAUAUUGGCUGGAGUUGGAGCCCCAGAGGGAAAAUUUGCCUAUUAUUAGGCAACUCUUCAAAACUUUACUUAUUCGUUUCUAAACACUGUCUCAUAAAAUGGGGGAUGCUUUAGAUGAAUUAAGAUUAGCACUAGAUUACUUAUUCGUUGAAAAUUAGCACUAGAUUUCUUAUUGGUUGAACAAGGAGGAGUGUGCACCAUAAUCAAUAUAACCUGCUGCAGUUAUGUAAACACCUCAGGUCACAUAGAAGAAGAUAUACAGAAAAUACAUGAACAAGCUGUGUGGUUGCGUAAAUAUAACCAAGGCACCAAUCCCAACUGUAUCUGGUCAGCCAUUAGAAGCACCCUCCUGAGUCUCACUUGGUUGUUGCCCUUCCUAGGAACUUUGAUAGUUGUCUUAUUAUUAAUCUUUGGCCCUUGCUUGUUUAAAUUCUUGGUAAAGUUUGUGUUUUUUAGAUUACAACAAUUCCACAUAAAGAUGAUACUGACACAAAGCUUCCAAUCCAUCCCGUCUUCUGAACCGGGAAAUAAAGACACCCUGCCUUUAGGUGUCUUUAGAUCUAGAUCAGGCAUCUAGAGAUUUUUACUCCUCCAAUACUUGGCAGGGUCUAUGCCCGUAGACUCAUCAGGAUACCAUGUAAAUGAGGACCUCCCUUGGUACCCCAGAGGCCAACUGUAGACCCUUAUGAGAAAAUCCUGUCCCCAAAAUGAACAUCCACUGUCAGCAGGAAGAAGUUACAGAAGACCAGCCUUUGCCCUUACGAUUAAGGGUCCUCUUGUAAGUAGAGAGGGGAAUGUUAGGAAAGCAGGAGCCUAGGUGAUCCAGAGUGACACCAUUUUAAAAUAAACUCCACCUGAAAACUAGCAAGGCAUCUGCACACAUCUGUUUAGCAAGUAUAUACUUCUGUAACUGGAAUAAAAAGCGUUAUUUUAGAAUAUGCCUAUAGUUUGUAAUAAUUAGCCGAGGGAAAAAAAGUUCACAUUGGUGUAGGAAAAGUGCCCUAAUGGUCAUGGGUAAUAAUGGGACCGUGGUUCUGGUCAGUGAUUUGAUGGAAGGGGUGUAGAUAAUAUAUUGUUGUAAAUAAUAAAAAUAAAAAAUUGUUGUAAGUAAUAAAAAUAAAAUAAUAUUGUUGUAAGUAAUAAAGUAGGAGAAAUAUUUGGUCUUUUGCUUUUGGGUUAGUGCAACAGUAGUACCAUUACUUGGAGGAGAAGUUAGAGAAGGACAAGAAUAGGCUUGAAUAAGAUGAGUGAGAAGAGAGAAAAAUUCCGUAAGUGGAGAUGGCCAGGGAACACCAGGGCAGCAGAAUCUAACUCUGAAUUUAAUGCUGUUGUCUGUUCAUAUUGCACUGCGCUGUAAUCUCCCUAUCUUUCCUAAACCAUUGGCAAAGUCUGCUAUCCACUGGGGCCUUGGGUCGGUGGUGCUUUGGGAAAUACCAGAAGAGGGAAAGUACGGCAAAUGUGCAGUGUCACAGAUGAUAGGAGGAAAGCUGGCCAGUGGGAUGAUUAAAACAAUUUCGGUGGGAGUGGGAAUUCAGACCAUGUAAAUGGUCUGAAUUAAGAAAAUUUCAAGAAACAAAAAAUGUUUCUAAUGAGCCAAAGUGAAAGCUCUUCAUGAUUUCUUUAUAGAGGCUCUCUAGUGCUUGUCCUAAUUUCCUGAAAUCUCAUGGGUAUCUUACUCUCCUGGUGCCCGCCUCAAACAUUCACUGUAGCAAUUAUAUGAGCAGCCUAGAGAAUCCCAAUCCCAGUGGUCUUGCUCCCUGGAUCUACUUUCUCUUAAAAAUCAUUCCCCUAAGUUUCCGUCACUUGGUUGAAGUUUAGUAGAUAUCUCCACAUCUCCAGCUAGAACAGCACCAGAAUUUCAGGACUAGGGCAAUAGAGUCUGAUAUUAAAUUCUAUUUCUAUCUAUCUAUCUAUCAUCUAUCUAUCUAUCUAUCUAUCUAUCUAUCUAUCUAUCUAUCUAUCUACAGAACAAUUUGUGGGAUAGUAGCUUUGGGGUCCCAGAUCUAGGAUGGGCCUGGUCCUCCAUGCUGGUUCUCCUGGGUGAUAUUUCUGUUAGUUUGAACAGUAAUCACACUUUUAUUACUGUUUCAUCUUUUUUUUUUCACUCUUAGACUGAUUUUAUCAUGUGUAUAAAACAUACACACACCUACAUCUCAAGGAUAAACAUUAAUCCUUGAAAAAUAUGUGGUCUAAAACUAUAUUGAGGAGAGAAAGAUAGGACACUUUAAUUGCCACAUGAUUAACACGAGGUCACCACACAGCUUUCACAAAUCUACAAGUCAUUCUAUUUAGGCUGAGUCAAGUUCUCCCUUGGGCCAGCCAGAGCACAAAUAAUGGAGCAAUGUGACUCUUCAAUGACAGAUCUCUGAUUUCCAGAAAAGAGACUUUGAAAUACCCAAUUCUAGUAAAUAUGCAAUUAAAUUUCCAGCUAAAUGACCUUUGCUCCUGUAGUCUUCAUCUUGGGGAAGGGAAAGAAGUCUUAUUCUGUUUAAUAGUUUGAUUUUUAUAAUAGGGUUUGUCUCUGUUAUAAAUCUUGUUUGAUAUUUAAAAUGUUAGCUAAGAGAAAACUUCUGUUUGUUUUUAUUUAGUGGGAAGAAACUAACCCUCAUUGAGUGCCUAGUUAACAUCAGGCACUUUGUACACAUAAUCAAUUGAAUCUUGACCACAACCCUGUGAGAUCCAUGGAUGAUUCUGGGUUUAGUUCUUUGUGAGACUGCCAGAAACUCCCAGAGGCUGGAUCUAUGCAUAAAGAGAGGCCAUUGGAGAGAAUGUCUACUGAAUUGCUGAAGACAAUUGCUACCGAGAAUAGAUCGUAACUUAGGAAGAAACAAUUCAGUACCAAAAGAGUAAUUGGAGCCCUUCUGGAAAACACUAGUAAGGUGAAAAAUGAGAAGAUUAAAUAAGCCAUGGGAAGAUUUUUUAAAAUGACAUGAAACUCCAAGGGUAAAAAGCAUUUCCACCUUUCCCUGCUUCAUCCAUACCUCCAAAAACAGAACCCUUCAAAGAACGUCCUGAGAAGAACAACUGGCCACUGAUUUUGAGUUGAACACUGGCAGGCAACACCCCAACAACCACACAGACCCCAUAGCUCUCAUUGCAGGAGGCGAGGGCAGCUGCCUGUUAGAAAGUGAUGCAAUACAGUAUAGGGGUUAAAAGAUGUAUGUGAGGAUUGAGCCUACAUCUUAAUUUCAGCUUAACUCCUAAAUGGUCUAUGACUUUCUUUUCUGAUUCUCCCUAUUCUCAUUUGAAGUAACAUUUAUCUUGUAAGGAUGCUAUGAAACACAUAUAAGACGUUGUAUGUUGCUUAGUAUAGUACCUGGCACUUUAGGACUCAAUAAAUGGAAAUAACAAAAAUGAAAAUAGUAAAAACAUCCACAGUAGUGAUAAUAAUAAAAAUAAUUUUUAUAAAAAUUAUUACUGAUGCAGGUGGCUGGUAAGAAUUGACAUUUUUCUUUUAGACAUCUAAGAAGACAGAUAUUUAUAUAAUAAGAUGAUAGCAAAGUGAGAAACAGAUACCGUUACAUUCGUUAUGUUCAAAGGCUAUUUCUCAGAGUAAGAGUGUGAGAAAGGUUUUGCUGUUUCUUCUUACAG
rnacentral:lncRNA from 1 species